rnacentral:lncRNA from 1 species
GAGAGGCUCAAACUCCUUCCUGGGUCUUCAUGGGUAGGAUUCCUGUUCAAUCCCCAUGUGCUAUGUUUGCCUCUCUCCAUAUGUGGGCAGGAGUUGUGCUACCCUAGCCCAUGGUAUGUUUACUCAGCAUCCUACAUUGACUAAUGCAAAAAUAUAAAAGAGUGGAAAUAUUUGAAUGCAGAGAAAAUACGUAAAGAAUGAUGGCUCUAGCAGUGAAUCCACAAAAUGUAUGCCGUGAGGUUCUGUAUGAUGGACAAAGGCUACAAGUCACCUCUGUGCCGAGUGAGAAACAUCAUCUAUUCUGAGUGAGUGUCCAUGAGAAAAGAAGUACAACAUGUCUUUGUAUCAAAGCAAGAGGUCAUUUUUCCCCAGUGGGUCUUCUUUUUCUUAACUUUAAUCUUUAUUUAUUUGUGUCUUAGGCCAGGCUAUGCACAACACGCAGCUC